AGGACGAACGCUGGCGGCGCGCCUAAAACAUGCAAGUCGAACGAGAAGCCCGGGCUUGCCCGGGUGGACAGUGGCGAACGGGUGAGUAACACGUGAGGAACCUGCCCCGAAGACCGGGACAACACCGGGAAACCGGGGCUAAUACCGGAUACGACCAUCGAGGGCAUCCUCUUUGGUGUAAAGGAUUCUGGCUAGGGAUGGGCCCGCGGCCUAUCAGCUUGUUGGUGGGGUAAUGGCCUACCAAGGCGACGACGGGUAG
rnacentral:rRNA from 1 species